UGACGAUUCACUGUUUAAUAAGUUCCAGUUAAACUUAAUUAGGAGGCAACUGCAAAGAACAGGAAGUACAAUCUCAUCCAGCAAAAUGGGUUUAUCAAAGCUCAAAUUGUCACGGUAAUCAGCAGCAAGUGGCUUUGUUUCUGAAGUUGGUUACUUCAUCGCUAUGCAUCAAUCAAUCAGAACAGCAGAACUAGCAUAAACCAGCUUCAGCUGCUUGAUGUUAAUGCCUGAAGGGAAGUGAGAUGCACAGCGCGUAUGCAUGCAGAACUGGUGGCAGUGAAUACAGCACAAGUCAAAACUUCAUACUACUGAGCUGAAAACUGUUAACGACGACAAAGUAAUUUCCCACAGUUCAGGACUCAGUUGCUUGGAUGACUUACACCGUUUUAUCAUUCUGGCUGUAGAAUGUGCAGACUUUCAGAGGUGCAAAGCACAGAGGCACUGUAUGCUGAGAUGGUUCAAUACAAGCAAAGACUGAUUCUAAAUACAGAGAAAAAAUUAGAUGUUGAGGUAUGUGUUCAAGCUACUUUUCUGCUGUAGAGCUCAAGAAGACUAUUUUGUUUUCUUCAGUGCAAUGGAAUAGUUUGGUACAGAGGUGAUAUUUUCCAGCAACAGAAGGGCAAAAUUUACCAGACUCACUGUAGUACUGGAUCUUCUUUUACCAUAAAGACACUUCUGUUCACAUUGAAAAGUGUUACUGCCUGUAUGAGUAAGUGGCCCAAAUACAGACCUUGUGGAAGCCUUAGAAGCAUGUAAGCCAUAAUUUGCAAAAUGGUGAAAAAGGAGCAUAAGGGAGAACAAAAUAGUCUGAUGCUGAUCCAAGUCUAUUGAGUGGGAGAAUGGAGUCUGGAAGACCACUUGGUUAGGUAUUCAUCUGAUGGAAAAAAUGUUUAUUCCUGAAUCUUAAGCACCAAGGUCUGCGAACACCACCAGCAUGACAGAACUUGAGGUGGUUGCACAGCCUCACUUGGGUCCACCUUUGGUGGCUGACUUUAGCCUCACUGGUGGCCAACAGCCAGGAAAAGAGGAAAAUAGUGCUUGCUAAUGGAAAAUGAGUCUUCUUUACUAUGUGAAAACAAGGAGUAUUGGAUAAUUUCCCUCAGAGGCACUUAAGACAAGAACAGGAUCCUGGUUUCCCUGUUUCUGGGAUAAAUGAUAUGUUUGAUCCUACUGACGGAAGGGAUGAAAGGUUUGUGAAGAAGCCCUGAUGAAGGCCAGAGAUGGAGACAGAUAAAAUACAACAGCAAUGAAGAAAUGAACAAAGGCAAACAUGGAUCCAGGACAAAAUCCCCUGAAUAAAUAGGCUAGAUGACAUUCCCCUGCAAGUGAAAUCAUUGACUGUUUCAGUUCUAUGAAGUAGUAAUGGAUUUGUAUGGGAACUGCUGAGUUAUGGCCAGAACCACUGAUUGAGCACCUGGAAGUGGAGACUCGGUUAGCCUCGGAAGCACAGGUUGAGGCAAUUCAUCUGUGCGACUGGAAGGGGUGGAGCCAGACCUCAUUUAAGGGCUGAAUACCACCGAGGAAGGAUCUUCUGCUGGAGACUCAUCCUUCGUGGAGUUUUUCUGUGAACCGAGAUCUUUGAAGAUAGGUAUUUCAUCUUUUUAGAGAAAACCCUCAGUUCUCUUCAGGGAAUUCCAGGGAGCUGGGUAUACCAGAAACACCCUGGUGCUGUCAGGCCUGGAACUGUCAUCAUAGUACUUGAAUGCUCGGCUGCUGUGUCUCAGAUGUUCUCCCAUCCAAAAAGGAAAAGGACCUACCUUGCUGAUCAUUCUGGCCAUGAAAGCAGAUCUGGCCACAAGAUCUUCUGAGGUUUCAUCUCCUGGUUUCUGAGACUGCUAUGAACUACUUAAAACAAGAAAAGGAUUGAUACAUCCUAGUGGGGCUUGAGAUACUUCCCCUCUGCUACCGUGAACAAGUCAGCAGAAGAACAAGCCUUUCAGUACCUGUGGCUUCAGGAUGGUGAAUAGAUGUAACAUCCUUGUGCUUCAGAGCUGCAGGGCAGUCUUUUCGAGUGUCGUCGCUUCCCCACGCUCUGCUCAACUCUGAAAAGCAGGUGAAUGUGAGAUGGCAGCCUGCUCUUCCGGAAGCAGAAUGACUGAAGUUGUUUCUACGCUUCCUAAGGAUCUACAUUUGAAAAAUGAAGGCAAGCAGUACAGGAACAAAGGAGAACUUAAUUCCAACAUAAUCCCUGAACUGCCGUGUGCAAACUUAGCAAUUCCUGUUUAUCCCCUGAAAUUUUGGAUGAAUAAUUUCAGAGCCUCUUAAGGUAAGAAUUUGCAAAAUUACCAGCUUAAGGUAUUCAAGUUUUUCUGAAAACCACUGAGUAAUGCAUCUGGGUAUUUUAUGUUACCUAAACUGUUAUUACAAUAAACUGAACAUCACAAACUACAAGCACACAUUGUACACAUUGGGUUUGUUUUUGUUACAGACAGUCCCUGCCUACCUAUUAACACUGUAUCUGUUGCCGGCUACAGGCCAAAGCAAGAUUUGAUCUAAACCCUGUUUAUGUAGCUGCAUUGCAUUUCUGUUCUGCCUGGGUAGCUGAAUACCCAAUCAUGCAACAGAGAUUUGGCAUGUGAUGCCUUCAUCACAUCUCAUUA
rnacentral:lncRNA from 1 species